rnacentral:rRNA from 1 species
GAUGAACGCGGGCGGCGUGCUAAUACAUGCAAGUAGAACGCUGAAGCUUGGUGCUUGCACCGAGCGGAUGAGUUGCGAACGGGUGAGUAACGCGUAGGUAACCUGCCUCUUAGCGGGGGAUAACUAUUGGAAACGAUAGCUAAUACCGCAUAAAAGUCGAUAUCGCAUGAUAUUGAUUUGAAAGGUGCAAUUGCAUCACUAAGAGAUGGACCUGCGCUGUAUUAGCUAGUUGGUGAGGUAACGGCUCACCAAGGCGACGAUACAUAGCCGACCUGAGAGGGUGAUCGGCCACACUGGGACUGAGACACGGCCCAGACUCCUACGGGAGGCAGCAGUAGGGAAUCUUCGGCAAUGGGGGCAACCCUGACCGAGCAACGCCGCGUGAGUGAAGAAGGUUUUCGGAUCGUAAAGCUCUGUUGUAAGAGAAGAACGAGUGUGAGAGUGGAAAGUUCACACUGUGACGGAACUACCAGAAAGGACGCA